AGUGAACGCUGGCGGUAGGCCUAACACAUGCAAGUCGAACGGCAGCACAGUAAGAGCUUGCUCUUACGGGUAGCGAGUGGCGGACGGGUGAGGAAUACAUCGGAAUCUACUUUUUCGUGGGGGAUAGCGUAGGGAAACUUACGCUAAUACCGCAUACGACCUACGGGUGAAAGCAGGGGAUCUUCGGACCUUGCGCGAUUGAAUGAGCCGAUGUCGGAUUAGCUAGUUGGCGGGGUAAAGGCCCACCAAGGCGACGAUCCGUAGCUGGUCUGAGAGGAUGAUCAGCCACACUGGAACUGAGACACGGUCCAGACUCCUACGGGAGGCAGCAGUGGGGAAUAUUGGACAAUGGGCGCAAGCCUGAUCCAGCCAUACCGCGUGGGUGAAGAAGGCCUUCGGGUUGUAAAGCCCUUUUGUUGGGAAAGAAAAGCAGCAGGUUAAUACCCCGCUGCUCUGACGGUACCCAAAGAAUAAGCACCGGCUAACUUCGUG
rnacentral:rRNA from 1 species